CAGGCAUGGUGUCAGAUUCCUCACAUCACCUUUCAACAUCUCGUGGAGUCAAUGCCAAGAAGAAUCGUCGCUGUAUUGAAAGCAAAAGGUGGCCCAAACGCAGUACUGAUGGGGUGGUCAUAAUAAUCUGGCCACUCAGUGUAUAAUCCUGGAGGUGUUAGUU